AGCAGCGUGGCUCAGUGGAAAGAGCACGGGCUUGGGAGUCAGAGGUCAUAGGUUCGAAUCCUGACUCUGCCA
rfam:Ornithorhynchus anatinus chromosome 2, whole genome shotgun sequence.